UCCCUGGUGGCUCAGCUGGUAAAGAAUCUGCCUGCAAUGCAGGAGAUCCCAGUUUGGUUCCUGGGUCGGGGAA
rnacentral:tRNA from 1 species